UAUGUGAUCGUCUCUCGCAUAUCAAUAAGCGGAGGAAAAGAAACUAACAAGGAUUCCCCUAGUAACGGCGAGUGAAGCGGGAAGAGCUCAAAUUUGAAAUCUUAAAGGGUUUCCCUUUACGAAUUGUAGUUUAAAGAAGUGUUUUCUGUUGAGGUUUUGGUAAAAGUUCUUUGGAAUAGGACAUCAUAGAGGGUGAGAAUCCCGUAUUUGACCUUUACUUUCAACUUUGUGAUACACUUUCAAAGAGUCGGAUUGUUUGGGAAUGCAGUCCAAAAUGGGUGGUAAAUUUCAUCUAAAGCUAAAUAUUGGCGAGAGACCGAUAGCGAACAAGUACCGUGAGGGAAAGAUGAAAAGGACUUUGAAAAGAGAGUUAAACAGUACGUGAAAUUGUCAAAAGGGAAGCGUUUGACACCAGUGUUGUUUUUCUGAAAAUCAAUUAAAGAACUGUUUAUGCUAAGCUGUUUAGACUUUAUCAGCUAUCUGUUUAGUUUUAGGCUUUUCUUUAAUGCACUUUUCAGUUAACAAGUCAACAUCAAUUUCUUUUGCUGUAAAAAAGCUUGAGGAAGGUGGCUUGAGAUUCGUCUUAAGUGUUUAUAGCCUCUUGCCUAUGCAGUCGGAGAGAUUGAGGUCUGCAGCGUAGAUCCUUCGGGGCUAAAUGCAUUUGUGCUAAGUUAUAGCAUUUUAUAGACAACUUGUUGACUAUGAUUUGUCUUGCAGCUUACUCGCUUAUGUUAUUUUACCUACGCUUAGGAUGUUGAUCUACAGAGCGAGAGU
rnacentral:rRNA from 1 species